GCUACGUAAACUACAAGGCAACAGCAAACAUUAAGUCAAUCACAAAUGAUGGUGAAGAUGAAAAAUCUAUUCCACACUAACCUGUCUCACAACAGCAGCAUGUUCCUGGCUCAUUUGAUCCUCACUCUAGGGACUGGGCAUCUAAUUAAAUUAAUAUUCAUCUGUAUCACCGUUUAGCUUUAUUCUACACGGUUCAAUGGCCAUUGAUAAUUGGAGAGCAUUAUUGGAAUGCAACAGCUUAUCUGGCUUCGUCUGGUCCUAAGUUACACCAAACAAAACACAUCAUAAGUUACUUUAAAAAAUCUAAACAAAUUUAGAUUAGGAUAUUUGGACUUAAUAUUUCAACUUAAAUUUCAGCUGAAGUUUUUGUGUGACCUAGGUGCUUGUGACAAUAGAAAUCAAGGUUAACUUCCCCUGUCAAAUCGUGGUAAAUCUUCAAGAUAUUGAUGCCUUCCCCAGAUCCAAUUCUUUGCUGCUAUCUCUUCAAACAACAAGGAACUGAACACUCACCCACUGGGAUAAUCAGGAGGAUGAGGAGGGCCCUGGUCGAACGAGGACUUGGAAGCUAAAAUGGCUUUGCACCCAUCUCUCUUCUUCCUUGUCCAGGUAACUCCCUGGCACAAUCAAUCAAUGCAGUUUCUUCCCUUUCUUGAUUGACCUUAUGUGCAAGUUUAAACAAAUUGACUACCAUUUACUCAUUUAGGCAUGCAAUGAGGAAAAAAGCUACUUGUGAGAUUGCAACUGUUGCUCUGUAUUUAUGAAACAUGGUUUUUUACUGAAGAUAAUUCUAUAGGUUUUUUACUAUACUGAUUUAUAAUUAACGUUAU